UCCACCAGGCUGCUGGGGGAAGGGCGCGGCGGGGAGCGCGGGGGCGAGGCCUGGUGGGGGCUGGGGACCCCGCGAAAGUUUCUUCCCAGCCUUGUUUUGGAGAUCGCUAGUGGGGGCUUCAACCCCGAAGGUGGAAAGCCAGCCCUGGAGUGAGGACGUGACACCCCGCCCUCCCCCCACAGAUGGCAGAAAGACACUUGAUAAACUCCCAUGAGCCAGUAUAUGCCAGAUGGAAGCACAGCUGGAGCUAUAGGUGGGAGCAAAGGAUUGGGCUUCCAGCCACCUACCUCUGUUUUCCUGAAAAUCCACUGGAAGUCAGCCCCUGCUAGCAGAAAGCCUCAUGAUCCAAACCACUGACGACUUAUGAAGUCCUCUCGGCUGGGGUUUAGAUCACUCAGGGCUUUCACUUGUGUCUUCAUGUGGCUUACUGAAGAUGACACAUUAACGAACUCAUCAGAGGCUGCUUUUCUGAGAUGCACGAAGAGGAACUGGACUCUCUUCCAACUCUGGGGGACCUGGGACCUGCCUGGAGCCUGGAGCCUGGAACCCUGCGGAACAUGAGAGGCACAAAGCGCAGCCUCCUGCCUCCUGCUAAUGGUGACAGGCAGGAAGGUUAGGAAGCUGAGAUCUACAAUCAGCUCUAAUGCUAAUUUGCUACUUAACAUGUGCCAGAUACAUGCUGCUGCCACCAUCACUCCCUAAUUGGAAAAAAAAAAAGACACACAUUCUUUUCUAUUAUACAGACGAC